rnacentral:lncRNA from 1 species
AAGUGACUUUUCCCAAGCCACAAACAUAGCCAGAGCUAUGGUCACAAAAUAUGCCAUGAGUGAUAAGGUAAACCAAAUCUUUCUUCAUAGAGAGGUUCACAUUUGACUUCCGCUACCGCGACAUCUCACUGGCUUAGUACACAUCUGCAUGAUUGGUUAAUCGGUUAUAUCAAACGCAUCUGAUUGGCCAAUGGACCCGUGAUGGUAGCUGUAGCGGUAGUGGACGUCAGAUCUGAAUCUCACUAUUAUCUUACUGACAACUGAUUUGAAUUUUUGACAUGACAUCCAAAACAGACGUACAAUUUUAAUGGUUUAGCAACUGAAAUAAAGGCGAUAGUUAUGAAUAAACAUAUUCCUGAC